AGUGAACGCUGGCGGUAGGCCUAACACAUGCAAGUCGAACGGCAGCACAGUAAGAGCUUGCUCUUACGGGUGGCGAGUGGCGGACGGGUGAGGAAUACAUCGGAAUCUACUUUUUCGUGGGUGAUAACGUAGGGAAACUUACGCUAAUACCGCAUACGACCUACGGGUUAAAGCAGGGGAUCUUCGGACCUUGCCCGAUUCAAUGAGCCGAUGUCGGAUUAGCUAGUUGGCGUGGUAAAGGCCCACCAAGGCGACGAUCCGUAGCUGGUCUGAGAGGAUGAUCAGCCACACUGGAACUGAGACACGGUCCAGACUCCUACGGGAGGCAGCAGUGGGGAAUAUUGGACAAUGGGCGCAAGCCUGAUCCAGCCAUGCCGCGUGAGUGAAGAAGGCCUUCGGGUUGUAAAGCCCUUUUGUUGGGAAAGAAAAGCAGCAGGUGAAUACCCCGCUGUUCUGACGGUACCUAAAGAAUAAGCACCGGCUAACUUCGUG
rnacentral:rRNA from 1 species